UUAAUUGAAACCAAAUAUAGAGGUAUAUUAUUGUUAAUAAUUUAAUUGAAUUUAAAAUUCCAAUUAAU
rnacentral:tRNA from 1 species